rnacentral:rRNA from 1 species
GACGAACUGUGCAAACGUUAUUCGGAAUCACUGGGCGUAAAGCGUGCGCAGGCGGUUUUGUAAGUCUGUCGUGAAAUCCCCGGGCUCAACCUGGGAAUUGCGAUGGAGACUGCAAGGCUAGAAUCUGGCAGAGGGGGGUAGAAUUCCACGUGUAGCAGUGAAAUGCGUAGAGAUGUGGAGGAACGCCGAUGGCGAAGGCAGCCCCCUGGGUCAAGAUUGACGCUCAUGCACGAAAGCGUGGGGAGCAAACAGG